rnacentral:tRNA from 1 species
GGUCAGAUAGCUCAGUUGGUAGAGCAAAGGACUGAAAAUCCUUGUGUCGGGGGUUCAAAUCCCUCUCUGACCA